AACGAACGCUGGCGGCAGGCCUAACACAUGCAAGUCGAGCGAGCAUUUCGGUGCUAGCGGCGGACGGGUGAGUAACGCGUGGGAACGUGCCCUUUUCUGCGGAAUAGUCCUGGGAAACUGGGGUUAAUACCGCAUACGCCCUUUUGGGGAAAGAUUUAUCGGAGAAGGAUCGGCCCGCGUUGGAUUAGGUAGUUGGUGGGGUAAUGGCCCACCAAGCCGACGAUCCAUAGCUGGUUUGAGAGGAUGAUCAGCCACACUGGGACUGAGACACGGCCCAGACUCCUACGGGAGGCAGCAGUGGGGAAUCUUAGACAAUGGGGGCAACCCUGAUCUAGCCAUGCCGCGUGAGUGAUGAAGGCCUUAGGGUUGUAAAGCUCUUUCAGCUGGGAAGAUAAUGACGGUACCAGCAGAAGAAGCCCCGGCUAACUCCGUG
rnacentral:rRNA from 1 species